rnacentral:misc_RNA from 1 species
CGCCACUCAAGCCUCGCUUGGUGUUGGGGCCCUACAGCUGAUGUAGGCCCUCAAAGGUAGUGGCGGACCCUCCCGGAGCCUCCUUUGCGUAGUAACUUUACGUCUCGCACUGGGAUCCGGAGGGACUCUUGCCGUAAAACCCCCCAAUUUUCCAAA